rnacentral:rRNA from 1 species
GAUGAACGCUGGCGGCGUGCCUAAUACAUGCAAGUCGAGCGAACAGACGAGGAGCUUGCUCCUCUGACGUUAGCGGCGGACGGGUGAGUAACACGUGGAUAACCUACCUAUAAGACUGGGAUAACUUCGGGAAACCGGAGCUAAUACCGGAUAAUAUAUUGAACCGCAUGGUUCAAUAGUGAAAGACGUUUUUGCUGACACUUAUAGAUGGAUCCGCGCCGCAUUAGCUAGUUGGUAAGGUAACGGCUUACCAAGGCAACGAUGCGUAGCCGACCUGAGAGGGUGAUCGGCCACACUGGAACUGAGACACGGUCCAGACUCCUACGGGAGGCAGCAGUAGGGAAUCUUCCGCAAUGGGCGAAAGCCUGACGGAGCAACGCCGCGUGAGUGAUGAAGGUCUUCGGAUCGUAAAACUCUGUUAUUAGGGAAGAACAAAUGUGUAAGUAACUAUGCACGUAUUGACGGUACCUAAUCAGAAAGCCACGGCUAACUACGUG